CAUGAUAAAUCCAAAAUUCUAAAUCUUAAAACUCAAUAAAAAUGUUAAAGGAGUCUUGGUAGCGCGCAUACAAGAAAUAACAACAAUAACAAUAAUAAUAACAAUAACAAUAUUAACAAUAAUAACAAUAAUAAAAAAAAAAUAUACAAAGAGACCAUUUAUUUUUUGUACAUGGAGGUUACAAUCAUUCACAUUCAUUAGAUUUUAAAUUGGAUGGCUUGGGUUGAGUUACGA
rnacentral:lncRNA from 1 species